rnacentral:rRNA from 1 species
AGAGUUUGAUCCUGGCUCAGAUUGAACGCUGGCUUCAGGCUUAACACAUGCAAGUCGAGCAGUAACAGGAGAAGCUUGUUUGAAGAUGACGAGCGGCGGACGGGUGAGUAAUGCCUGGGAAUGGGCCCAUUUGUGGGGGAUAACAGUUGGGGACGACUGCUAAUACCGCAUACGCCCUACGGGGGAAAGCAGGGAACCUUCGGUCCUUGCGCUGAUGGAUAAGCCCACGGUGGAUUAGCUCACUAGGUGAGGUAAUGGCUCACCUAGGCAACGAUCCCUAGCUCGUCUGAGAGGAUGAUCAGCCACACGGAACUGAGACACGGUCCAGACUCCUACGGGAGGCAGCAGUGGGGAAUAUUGCACAAUGGGGGAAACCCUGAUGCAGCCAUGCCGCGUGUGUGAAGAAGGCCUUCGGGUUGUAAAGCACUUUCAGUUGUGAGGAAAGGAUAAUGGUUAAUACCCAUUAUCUGUGACGUUAGCAACAGAAGAAGGACCGGCUAACUCCGUGCCAGCAGCCGCGGUAAUACGGAGGGUCCGAGCGUUAAUCGGAAUUACUGGGCGUAAAGCGCACGCAGGCGGUUUGUUAAGUUAGAUGUGAAAGCCCCGGGCUUAACCUGGGAAUAGCAUUUAAAACUGGCAGGCUAGAGUCUUGGAGAGGGGAGUGGAAUUCCAGGUGUAGCGGUGAAAUGCGUAGAUAUCUGGAGGAACAUCAGUGGCGAAGGCGACUCCCUGGCCAAAGACUGACGCUCAUGUGCGAAAGUGUGGGUAGCGAACAGGAUUAGAUACCCUGGUAGUCCACACCGUAAACGAUGUCUACUAGCUGUUUGUGGAUUUAAUCUGUGAGUAGCGCAGCAAACGCGAUUAAGUUCUCCGCCUGGGGAGUACGGCCGCAAGGUUAAAACUCAAAUAAAUUGACGGGGGCCCGCACAAGCGGUGGAGCAUGUGGUUUAAUUCGAAGCAACGCGAAGAACCUUACCUACUCUUGACAUCCUGAGAAUUUGCUAGAGAUAGCUUAGUGCCUUCGGGAACACAGUGACAGGUGCUGCAUGGCUGUCGUCAGCUCGUGUCGUGAGAUGUUGGGUUAAGUCCCGCAACGAGCGCAACCCUUGUCCUUAGUUGCCAGCACGUAAUGGUGGGAACUCUAAGGAGACUGCCGGUGACAAACCGGAGGAAGGUGGGGAUGACGUCAAGUCAUCAUGGCCCUUAUGGGCUGGGCUACACACGUGCUACAAUGGCAGGUACAGAGGGCCCAAACUCGCGAGAGUAAGCUAAUCCCACAAAGCCUGUCUUAGUCCGGAUUGGAGUCUGCAACUCGACUCCAUGAAGUCGGAAUCGCUAGUAAUCGUAGAUCAGAAUGCUACGGUGAAUACGUUCCCGGGCCUUGUACACACCGCCCGUCACACCAUGGGAGUGGGUUGCAAAAGAAGUGGGUAGCUUAACAAUGGGCGCGGGCGUUUACCACGGUGUGGUUCAUGACUGGGGUGAAGUCGUAACAAGGUAACC